UACGGGGGGGGCAAGCGUUGUUCGGAAUUACUGGGCGUAAAGGGCUCGUAGGCGGCCAACUAAGUCGGAUGUGAAAUCCCCAGGCUUAACCUGGGAACUGCAUCCGAUACUGGAUGGCUUGAAUCCGGGAGAGGGAUGCAGAAUUCCAGGUGUAGCGGUGAAAAUGCGUAGAUAUCUGGAGGAAUACCGGUGGCGAAGGCGGCAUCCUGGACCGGCAUUGACGCUGAGGAGCGAAAAGCUAGGGGAGCAAACGGG
rnacentral:rRNA from 1 species